rnacentral:rRNA from 1 species
GGCUCGACGCUGGCGGCGUGCCUACACAUGCAGUCGAGCGGAUGCGGGGGAUUUUGCUCCCCGGCUGGAGGCGGGGGGAGGGGUGUUGCCUGUGUGUCUGCCUGCCUGUGGAUUGGGACUCCUCCCGGAGAACGGCGCUAACACCUACUUACUAUUGCCGGAAGGGGGGGAUCUUCGGACCUUCCUCUUCCGCAUGAACCUACGGCGGAUUCCCUGGCUGGUUAUGUAGUGGCUGACCUAGGCGACCAUCCAUACCUGGACUGAGAGGAUGAUCGACCACCCUGUAACUGACACUGGCACCGAACUCCUACCCGAAGCACCACUGGGGGAUAUAGUACGAAGUCUUCCAGCCUGAUCCAAACAUGCACCGAGUGUGAACAAGGGCUUCAGAUUGGGUAUCACUUUAAAUUGCUAGGAAGGGAGGUAAGAUAAUAUCUUGCAGUUUUUGCUUUACCCAUGGACGUACCACCGGCUAACUCAGUGCCUAACUCCGCGGUAACCACCGCGGUAA